rnacentral:rRNA from 1 species
UGCAAGUCGAACGGUAACAGGUUAAGCUGACGAGUGGCGAACGGGUGAGUAAUGUAUCGGAACGUGCCCAGUCGUGGGGGAUAACUGCUCGAAAGAGCAGCUAAUACCGCAUACGACCUGAGGGUGAAAGCGGGGGAUCGCAAGACCUCGCGCGAUUGGAGCGGCCGAUAUCAGAUUAGGUAGUUGGUGAGGUAAAGGCUCACCAAGCCGACGAUCUGUAGCUGGUCUGAGAGGACGACCAGCCACACUGGGACUGAGACACGGCCCAGACUCCUACGGGAGGCAGCAGUGGGGAAUUUUGGACAAUGGGCGCAAGCCUGAUCCAGCCAUGCCGCGUGCGGGAAGAAGGCCUUCGGGUUGUAAACCGCUUUUGUCAGGGAAGAAAAGGUUCUGGCUAAUACCUGGGACUCAUGACGGUACCUGAAGAAUAAGCACCGGCUAACUACGUGCCAGCAGCCGCGGUAAUACGUAGGGUGCAAGCGUUAAUCGGAAUUACUGGGCGUAAAGCGUGCGCAGGCGGUUAUGCAAGACAGAGGUGAAAUCCCCGGGCUCAACCUGGGAACUGCCUUUGUGACUGCAUGGCUAGAGUACGGUAGAGGGGGAUGGAAUUCCGCGUGUAGCAGUGAAAUGCGUAGAUAUGCGGAGGAACACCGAUGGCGAAGGCAAUCCCCUGGACCUGUACUGACGCUCAUGCACGAAAGCGUGGGGAGCA